CAGAUCUAGAUGUUUAUAUGCCUGCUCCUU
rnacentral:piRNA from 1 species